UGUUAAAAGUUCCAUCCAUUUCUAUUAUUAAAUACUAGAAUGGCUAACAGAAGAACCAAACAGUGACUUGUAGUGUCACGUGUACGUCAGCGGGACCAAUUAUUAAUAGUAGAAAUAGAUGGAAUUUUUAAUA
rfam:Gossypium hirsutum cultivar TM-1 scaffold5928.1_1, whole genome shotgun sequence